GAUGAACGCUGGCGGCGUGCCUAAUACAUGCAAGUCGAGCGAACGGACGAGAAGCUUGCUUUUCUGAUGUUAGCGGCGGACGGGUGAGUAACACGUGGAUAACCUACCUAUAAGACUGGGAUAACUUCGGGAAACCGGAGCUAAUACCGGAUAAUAUUUUGAAACGCAUGGUUCAAAAGUGAAAGACGGUCUUGCUGUCACUUAUAGAUGGAUCCGCGCUGCAUUAGCUAGUUGGUAAGGUAACGGCUUACCAAGGCAACGAUGCAUAGCCGACCUGAGAGGGUGAUCGGCCACACUGGAACUGAGACACGGUCCAGACUCCUACGGAAGGCAGCAGUAGGGAAUCUUCCGCAAUGGGCGAAAGCCUGACGGAGCAACGCCGCGUGAGUGAUGAAGGUCUUCGGAUCGUAAAACUCUGUUAUUAGGGAAGAACAUAUGUGUAAGUAACUGUGCACAUCUUGACGGUACCUAACCAGAAAGCCACGGCUAACUACGUG
rnacentral:rRNA from 1 species